UUAGUACUCCCUCCGUCCCAAAAUUCUUGUCUUACUUUUGUCUAGAUACGGAUGUAUCUAACACUAAGAUGUGACUGGAUACAUCCGCAUUUAGAUAAAUCUAAGACAGGAAUUUUGGGACGGAGGGAGUACAAA
rfam:Triticum aestivum genome assembly, contig: Triticum_aestivum_CS42_TGACv1_scaffold_146691_2BS